rnacentral:tRNA from 1 species
AUCGUUAGCUCAAUCGGUUAGAGCGUGGUGCUGAUAACACCGAGGUCGUGGGUUCGAUCCCCGUUCGGU